GGGUUGUGAGGUUAAGCGACUAAGCGUACACGGUGGAUGCCCUGGCAGUCAGAGGCGAUGAAGGGCGUGCUAAUCUGCGAUAAGCGCCGGUAAGGUGAUAUGAACCGUUAUAACCGGCGAUACCCGAAUGGGGAAACCCAGUGUGACUCGUCACACUAUCAUUAACUGAAUCCAUAGGUUAAUGAGGCGAACCGGGGGAACUGAAACAUCUAAGUACCCCGAGGAAAAGAAAUCAACCGAGAUUCCCCCAGUAGCGGCGAGCGAACGGGGAGGAGCCCAGAGCCUGAAUCAGCAUAUGUGUUAGUGGAAGCGUCUGGAAAGGCGCGCGAUACAGGGUGACAGCCCCGUACACAAAAGCGCAUGUGCUGUGAGCUCGAUGAGUAGGGCGGGACACGUGGUAUCCUGUCUGAAUAUGGGGGGACCAUCCUCCAAGGCUAAAUACUCCUGACUGACCGAUAGUGAACCAGUACCGUGAGGGAAAGGCGAAAAGAACCCCGGCGAGGGGAGUGAAAAAGAACCUGAAACCGUGUACGUACAAGCAGUGGGAGCCCCACCACUAAGCCAGUGGUGAACUCCACAUACGCAUCCUUUGCUGAGGAUACGGUUAACGGAGCGAAAGCGACGUUCAACCUCAAAAGAAGCAGAGGGGGCUUAGUGGUGGGGUGACUGCGUACCUUUUGUAUAAUGGGUCAGCGACUUAUAUUCUGUAGCAAGGUUAACCGAAUAGGGGAGCCGGAGGGAAACCGAGUCUUAAUUGGGCGUUAAGUUGCAGGGUAUAGACCCGAAACCCGGUGAUCUAGCCAUGGGCAGGUUGAAGGUUGGGUAACACUAACUGGAGGACCGAACCGACUAAUGUUGAAAAAUUAGCGGAUGACCUGUGGCUGGGGGUGAAAGGCCAAUCAAACCGGGAGAUAGCUGGUUCUCCCCGAAAGCUAUUUAGGUAGCGCCUCGUGAAUUCAUCUCCGGGGGUAGAGCACUGUUUCGGCUAGGGGGCCAUCCCGGCUUACCAACCCGAUGCAAACUGCGAAUACCGGAGAAUGUUAUCACGGGAGACACACGGCGGGUGCUAACGUCCGUCGUGAAGAGGGAAACAACCCAGACCGCCAGCUAAGGUCCCAAAGUCAUGGUUAAGUGGGAAACGAUGUGGGAAGGCCCAGACAGCCAGGAUGUUGGCUUAGAAGCAGCCAUCAUUUAAAGAAAGCGUAAUAGCUCACUGGUCGAGUCGGCCUGCGCGGAAGAUGUAACGGGGCUAAACCAUGCACCGAAGCUGCGGCAGCGACGCUGAUGCGUUGUUGGGUAGGGGAGCGUUCUGUAAGCCUGUGAAGGUGUGUCGUGAGGC
rnacentral:rRNA from 1 species